rnacentral:rRNA from 1 species
AACGAACGCUGGCGGCAGGCUUAACACAUGCAAGUCGAGCGCCCCGCAAGGGGAGCGGCAGACGGGUGAGUAACGCGUGGGAAUCUACCCAUCUCUACGGAAUAACGCAUGGAAACGUGUGCUAAUACCGUAUACGUCCUUCGGGAGAAAGAUUUAUCGGAGAUGGAUGACCCCGCGUUGGAUUAGGUAGUUGGUGGGGUAAAGGCCAACCAAGGCGACGAUCCAUAGCUGGUCUGAGAGGAUGAUCAGCCACACUGGGACUGAGACACGGCCCAAACUCCUACGAGAGGCAGCAGUGGGGAAUAUUGGACAAUGGGCGCAAGCCUGAUCCAGCCAUGCCGCGUGAGUGAUGAAGGCCCUAGGAUUGUAAAGCUCUUUCACCGGUGAAGAUAAUGACGGUAACCGGAGAAGAAGCCCCGGCUAACUUCGUGCCAGCCGCCGCGGUAAUAC